rnacentral:rRNA from 1 species
CGAGCACUACGAUCUCUUGAUUAAAACUUAAAGAGCAUGGCGGUCAUAAGAAAAUUUAGGGGAACUUACCGAGUAAUUGAUAACCCACAAGGUCCUCCUCUUAACUUAAAAGUUUGUAUACCGCCGUCUAGGCGUCCUCGCAAGAAGGCGCCAAAGUAAUCUAUGUUAAAAAGACAGGUCAGGGUGCAGCCAAUAGUUAAGUUUCAGGCGAGUUACAAUAAUAAUUAAUUUUUCAAGAAAAUUUAAAAUUUUUAAAGAAGUGGACUUAAAAGUAAUGUUUAUACACAAUACAACUUGAAUAGAACGCUUAUGGUGC